GACGAACGCUGGCGGCGUGCUUAACACAUGCAAGUCGAACGAAGUGGCGAACGGGUGAGUAACGCGUAAUCAACCUGGCCUUCAGAGGGGGACAACCGUUGGAAACGACUGCUAAUACCGCAUACUGAAGGAGUGGAUUGCGUCUGAUGAGCUAGUUGGAGGGGUAACGGCCCACAAAGGCGAUGAUCAGGAGCCGGUGUGGGAGGAUGAACGGCCAAAUGUGGACUGAGACACGGCCCAGACUCCUACGGGAGGCAGCAGUGGGGAAUCUUCCGCAAUGGACGAAAGGCUGGCGGAGCAACGGCGGGUGGUGGAUGACGGCCUUCGGGUUGUAAAGCUCUUUUAAGCGGGACGCGGUACCGGAAUAGAAAGCCACGGCUAACUACGUGCCAGCAGCCGCGGUAAUUC
rnacentral:rRNA from 1 species